UACGUAGGGGGCUAGCGUUGUCCGGAAUCAUUGGGCGUAAAGCGCGUGUAGGCGGCCCGGUAAGUCCGCUGUGAAAGUCGGGGGCUCAACCCUCGGAUGCCGGUGGAUACUGUCGGGCUCGAGUACGGAAGAGGCGAGUGGAAUUCCUGGUGUAGCGGUGAAAUGCGCAGAUAUCAGGAGGGACACCAAUUGCGAAGGCAGCUCGCUGGGACGUUACUGACGCUGAGACGCGAAAGCGUGGGGAGCAAACAGG
rnacentral:rRNA from 1 species